rnacentral:rRNA from 1 species
CCUAGGGGCGAGCUCGAUCCCAAUCCCAAAGCUCCCCAAACGCGAUCCCAAACCAGGCGCUACCCGGCCAGGGCGCCCCACGGGUUAAGGCCGCUGCUGCUGUGGUUGGUGUCCAGCUUCGCCUCCUCCCAGCGGAGCUGGCCCCUACGCAGCCUGAGCGAGAGGCGCCGCACGCCCCCUCGGCCGCUGCCGUUCUUCCGCGACAUGGUGACGUUGAUGACGUUGUUCCUGGACAGGCCCUUCUAGGCCAAGUUCACGAGGUUCACGGGGCUGAAACUGGAGACGCAGCUCACGAAGAGGCAGCCUCGACUCCAGUGAGGCGUAGCCUCGUUGGUGGGGAUGUCCCAAUACCUGUUGGAUAGAAAAGGUGAUUAAACAGGUCUAACCUUACGCCUACUCCUUUAGGAAGAAGAUCUCCCUUAACUUUACAUACCAGACCCUUUGACCCGACUUCAACGCCUCGUACAACCAUGGUUCUCGUUCCGUGUCACGUAACUCGUAAUAUGAUGACGUAUAUACUUGAGUGGAACAAUAGGGGAAGGCCUGUACAGAGUACAAUUACCGUUCUUAUCCUUCCUUGAAGAACGGUACCGAUUUCAUGUCCCACUCUCAUUUUUUCCUUAAGGUGACAAUAGUCCCCUAAACUGUGGAUUCCGUCUCAGUGGCAAAAGAGGGAGGUCCCAGUUCUACCUUCUACGUGAACCUCUUCCAGGUCGGUCAGCUAGUGGAAGCGUGUAUGGACCACCACGUUUAUUCUUUCGAAGUUGACAACCCGUAAAAUUUCUAUCACGAUUAGAUAGAUUUCAGCUUCUACCAGUAUACCUAUCUUCAUAACCGCACUUUUUUGGGUCUAUAAGACGUCUACUCCCCGGAAGAAAUUGACUUAACUCACCCAUGUUACGUUUCUCUGUACUUAAACUGGGUCUCAUACUAUUACUACGACUUGUUCGGGAACGUCUCUACCUUAAAUUUCUUUGACUAAGCCUUUGACUAGCACUUGACUUCGAUGCACACAACGCAUAAAUGAACAGUUCCGAACUACUUUCUUUUUCCUCUUUUCUCAAGUAUGACCUUUCUUUAAAUGAUAUAGGAUUAGGAAACCUCUUCCUAGAUUGUUUACUUCUGUUCCUUCAAAUGGUAGCCAUGUUUCAAAAGUACGCAAAGGAAAGUUUCCUCCUUGUACUUCGUGAACAAUCCUCACAAUAACUUCUCGCUUUUUAGGCCUCCUCCUAAGUUCUCGAAGUCCUUACAGCAAGUCGACCAACGGCAUGUGACCGACUUCGGUUCUAUGUGUAUCUCGUUUUCUCCUCUUUCCUCAUACUCCGCUUACGGGACUUUCGGUUCCUUUCACCGGUCGAAUAAAGUUUAUCAUUUAGUCCUGUGUUUUGUUUAGCCGGAUACUUUCAACUCUGACUACCCUCAAACCUAGAAUUCUUUCCGUCACGGUAAAACCUACGACCACCAUCCCUAAGAGGUUUUUCGUGUCCUGGAUGUUCGCGAUUCGUUACCCUACUAACCCUGUAACAACCAGAAGGACCCCGUCUCGAUAAUUCGCGGUCACUUUUUGAAGACACGACAGUCUUGUCUAACGAUGGCUCAGUAAUAGACUCUUACGUCCUCCACGACUACGUCCUCUACAAGUUCCCGUUACAGUAGUUCUUCCUUCUACGGGCACAUAACAAAUUUCAGCUAGGAUGGUUUCAGCUAUGCCAAAUACUAUACCACUGCUUUUUCGACCCGUUGUUGCUCCUCCGAGGCUACCAAAUCGAUACGUUAAACCCAACACGGACGAGAUCCGGAACCGGGUUUUAGUUUAGAACCAAAGAGUCGUGCUGGGUCCGGGUCCACUCUUGCCUCCGAUAUGAAUGUACUGAACCGACAUCGUCACAAUGUAACCUUAAACACAGUCUAAAGACCUCUUCACGUUAUUCCGUAAGCUCGGUUUAACAUUUUAAUGGGCCGUCACCCUUACACAUCGCACUCAACAACGGUAACGACAAGCUAAAAUUUCUCCUCUAUCUGCGGUAACGACGACUUUCACAUGACACUACUACUACACUAUCACGGAAACAACAUCCAAAUCCCCUGACUCUACUACAUGGUACAUACAUUUGUAAACAGGUAAAAUAAAUACUAUUACGCCUAAGUCCACGUGGGUAAGU